rnacentral:rRNA from 1 species
UACGGAGGGGGCUAGCGUUGUUCGGAAUUACUGGGCGUAAAGCGCACGUAGGCGGCUUUGUAAGUUAGAGGUGAAAGCCCGGGGCUCAACCCCGGAAUAGCCUUUAAGACUGCAUCGCUUGAACGUCGGAGAGGUGAGUGGAAUUCCGAGUGUAGAGGUGAAAUUCGUAGAUAUUCGGAAGAACACCAGUGGCGAAGGCGGCUCACUGGACGACUGUUGACGCU